AACGAACGCUGGCGGCAGGCCUAACACAUGCAAGUCGAGCGGACCUUUCGGGGUCAGCGGCGGACGGGUGAGUAACGCGUGGGAAUAUGCCCUUCUCUACGGAAUAGUCCUGGGAAACUGGGGGUAAUACCGUAUACGCCCUUUGGGGGAAAGAUUUAUCGGGGAAGGAUUAGCCCGCGUUGGAUUAGGUAGUUGGUGGGGUAAUGGCCUACCAAGCCGACGAUCCAUAGCUGGUUUGAGAGGAUGAUCAGCCACACUGGGACUGAGACACGGCCCAGACUACUACGGGAGGCAGCAGUGGGGAAUCUUAGAAAAUGGGGGCAACCCUGAUCUAGCCAUGCCGCGUGAGUGAUGAAGGCCUUAGGGUUGUAAAGCUCUUUCAGCUGGGAAGAUAAUGACGGUACCAGCAGAAGAAGCCCCGGCUAACUCCGUG
rnacentral:rRNA from 1 species